CCAAUUUGAGCAUUUCGUCGACCUCUUGGAACAACAACUUCUGCUUUGGUGGUGAUACUGGAUAGAAUCUCUCUUUCACUGGCACUGUAUCCAGCAGUUGGAUCGUGUGCUCUUCUAAUGUGGUACGUCCGAGUCCGCCUGAAACUUCUCACAGACUUCUGCCAGGACCUCUUGUUGCGUCUCGUUGAGGACAUGUGGUUCCACCGGCUCCUUUUUGGAAUUAAACUCCUCAUCCUCGAUGGACAACUCCUCUACUCCCAAGAGAUCAGGUGCGAGCUCGAAUUUGCGGCAGAAAUCUAUGCCUUUGACGCAGUGACGGGCACAGCAUGAUUCACUCCUCCUGCCGUUUGAACUUUCGAGUAAGAUGUUUUUCUUUUUAAUUCCAGUUUAUUCACCAGCUCUUCACAUCCGUCGCCCAGGAAACUCACUGAAGCUCCCGUGUCUAGCAGACCUUCUACGUGAAACUAUUGCAUCUUUACCGUAGCGAAUGCCUGAUUCUCCUUUUGCCUUGACACUGCUUCUAAGGCCGAACAAACCUCUUGGCGUUUUGUUCUUCGUUGUCUGUACCGCUCUCUCACACGCUUGACUCGGUUAGAUAUGGCCUUUUUCCUAUUGGUUCCUUCUACCAAUCCAAAUGGGUUCCGUUUUUCACUAAAUUGCUGGUCAUGGUCCGAGGAGUUGCUUUCUAAGCGUGAUCGGAGGCUAAACAUCGCUUGGAGGUAUUCAUCCACGCUUUCUCCUGUCCUUUGUCGCCUCUCUCUCAACUCACGUUCCCGCUCAAAGUUUGAUCGUUGCGUCUGGAAUCUCUGCUGCAGUGCGUGCUUCAUAUUUGGCCAAUCUGCUGGUCCUGCCGAGCGUACGUGCA